rnacentral:sRNA from 1 species
CCCGGUUAUUGACAUCCUCCCCGUUCUGCAAAGUCGAACUCCGUGCUCAAACUCAAGAAGCAAGUUCAUUGCCUAUGUGAGGAUAGUGAUCGUGUUUACCUCCCGUAGCAGUGUUUGUGACGGAUGCGACCCCAGGUCUAACUAGGAUGUCACUGGAUUCAUAAUAUGAUCGUGUUGUAAGGGCAGUAUAGUAACCAUCGACCGAUUGUACAAGGGCAAAGAAAGGAAACGAAGCCUCUCGGAGUCAGACUAAGGUGCUGUGUGACCCAUGAUUAACAAGUGUUUUCGAAACCAUUGUUAUUUGUAGUAGUAAUUUAAUGGGAGUGUAAGCUGGGGAGGAUAUCGAUCCUAAAAUAAUGGCGAACGAAUGCUGGUAUGUACAGUAACUUUUACAAUUGUAAUUCAAAGUUGGAAAUAUUAAAAAACACUCUGUCAGUAAAAUAUGUGAAAUAUGUUUGAGGCUG